CCCAAGGUUAAACGGGAGCUAUUUGUAAUUAGGAUGACAAGAAAACUAGUACUUGCAGGAAGGCUGGCCAUUGUCUUUAGUAUGAAAGAUGGCUCCACUCUUCUGUGAGAUUCAAGAGUCUCAUCUUUCUUGUGAUUUGUCGCAUAAUAUGAUCUAUUAGAGUAUGACGAGCAAAAGUCUGCGUCAGAAUAUUUCCACUUGGCAAUAAAGCCAAUAGUGUAUAGAAGGGCAACAUUUGUGCUGACAGAUCGAAUAAUAUGAGUUAGGAGACCAUGACUACCCAAUCUUAAGCGAAUCAAGCAUAAACGUUCAGCUUCUCUGGCGUUAUAUGAAGCAAUUAUUCCGGUAUACUAUAUUCUUUGUGCGUGGCUACCUUCCCUCAGUACGGACCGAACAUCAGUUCUGCCGCGCUAAAAAAAACCAGUGAGGCUAUCGUUCGCGCAAUAUCUAGCCCUCCCAUAUCUCAAAAGGCGGCCGAUGCCACGUCGCAAGAAAAAAGUGCCGCGGCCUGCGCCGCAGCAGCUAUCGAAACUACCGCAAGGGCCGAUACUCUCUACACAGUGUUACUGCUGUUGUUGUUGGCAAAGGACGGUCAAUUUCGAGCCGAUUUCAGCCAAUCCGCUUUUUCCGUUCGGUAAUAACUGUAUGCACUACAUCGGGACUCUAGCGGAUCCAGGCGUGGUUGAUUACGCUCCUCUAGGUACUGCGCAGCGGGGAUGCCCAGCACAUUUUCAACUUCCACAUUCGUCUCCCUCAAGAAACAUGUGGGGAACGUGGCAGUCCUCACCUCCUCGAUAUAUUACUCCCGUAUACCCAAUUCAGCGGAGAUUCAUUGGGUUUUAUUUGAAAGGAGUCAAUAGAUAUUGAAUCAUUGCAGACAGAUUGCGUGACGCUUUUGUCACUCGUGCUUGCAUUGGUUAUAGCAGCAGAAGCGAGAGCAGUCACGACUCGUUUUCGCAAAGUAGAUCAACAGGUUACGCCUGACUGAACAAUGAUUUGGUCCCAGUUGAAGAAGCAAAAGAAUGCUCUUUGGGUUAAAAAUUAAACGAGCUAAAAAAAUGUCUUCCUUUUCAUUUUCAAAAAUUAUAAUUAUCAUAAUAAACAGCUGUGUUUACCAGUUCUAUUUGAAUCACAGGUGCUUCCCGACUAGUAGGACAAAGUAAGUUUUUCUAGAUUAUGCGGAGUUUCGUGCUGAAGUUACUGGCUAGUGUUUUCAAUGGACUUAGAGCUCAACGAACCUUUAAAGCAAACAGAUUGGCGAAACUGAGAUGAGAGCAGACGUAGAAUCAAUGCUAUACUAUAUAUACAGGGGUGACAUGAAUCUGUGGUGCAGGAAAGUGUAUAUGUGAACGAGCAUGUGCACUUAAAGAUGAGGUGUUAAGAGUAAACGCAUGAUGGGGCCAACAGCUAUGCACCUCGUCUCGUAACGUCAUAUGUGCAGUAAUCGUGCCGUUGAGGAGAGAUCAUUCCUAUGCUCUUAUUGCUCGAGACUGGCUCCAGCCGAAUGCAUCGUAGCCGUUGCAACGAUCAGAAUGACCUCAACAAAGGAUUUCUCUCGCUUUGUACAGUCAUAUCGUAGGUUGUUGGCCGGCGCGUCACCAUGUGGUACACAGAUGUCUAUGUAGAGCACUCGGGCACUUUGGACUCAGAUACGGUAUAUAGCGUCAGCGCAGCAGCAGCAGCAGCAGCAACAGCAACAGCAGCAGCAGCAGCAGCAGAAAUAGCUAAGAAGCAAUAGUUAGCAACGAAAAACAAGGACCUAGAGUGGCCUAAAAGGCUUAUGAGAAAGUUGAUUGAGUGGCGUUGAAUGGACGACGACGACAUGAUUUAUUCUUAUAUUAGACAGAUAAGGCGCAGAUGCAGUGAGAGGCAAUGGUAGUGUGAUCGUUCUUUGCUGUUGAAGCUCCUUGAAAGAGGCAGUGACGGUAACGUUGGUGCUAAACAUGCAUGAUCGCCGGAACCGCGUUUCGCUACAUACCCGUAAUUGUGACGCAUGCAAGCUAGCUGAUCAAACCUUCAUGGCAGUACGCUUUUACCUGGAGUGCAAUUCCCAGUGACAGCUAAUUUUGGACAAUUACGACGUCUGCUCUAUUCCUUGAAUGGAAUGACUAACAGGAAAUCGACCACAGCAUAUCGAAAGUGAUCCAUCUUUGCAAAACGCCAUAACCGUUUUAAAGGACUAAAUGCAAUUCACGUGAAUGAGAGUGUAUCCCAGAAUAGCCUAAUUUAAAGUCAAGGGUAUAGGCAGGGAACGUUGUCGACACGACAGAUGCGAGAUGUGUGUAUCCGACGCUUUAGCGGAUGAGCUGAUCCUAUGGCCGCGAGAUCGGACUGCUAGUAGGCCUUUAAUCAAGCAGCGGUAGUCAGCUGAUCAGUGCAUAUUUGCCAAUGAACGCAGAAACUGUUAAUGCGCCCCAGUGUCUUCAAGCGUUCAACGAUGAAUAGACCGUGUAACCUGUCUUGUUUGCUCUAUCUAAUUCGUACACAGCAGAUUAAUUAGAUCUAAUUUGCGGACCGACAGCCAUAUAGAAAUUGUUGGCAUUCAUGUUUAUUAGAAUUCAUUGUUUAAUUGCAUUAGGCAGGACAAGAACGACCCGAUUAGCGUGAAAACCCAGCAACCGGAAGGAGAAAUUGAGUCCCGACGCAAUUACAUAUAACUUGCACGUUAGUUUCUCGUUACAAGGAAAUUACGAACAACGCCUUCAUUAAACGAAAACAUUGGGACGAGUCCGCAGGCCGGACAGCGUCAGGAAACUUAAAUGAUCAAUUAAAGGAACGUUAUGUCAUAAGUUA